GAGUUUGAUCCUGGCUCAGAACGAACGCUGGCGGCAGGCUUAACACAUGCAAGUCGAGCGCCCCGCAAGGGGAGCGGCAGACGGGUGAGUAACGCGUGGGAAUCUACCCAACCCUACGGAAUAACGCAUGGAAACGUGUGCUAAUACCGUAUACGCCCUAAGGGGGAAAGAUUUAUCGGGGAUGGAUGAGCCCGCGUUGGAUUAGCUAGUUGGUGGGGUAAAGGCCUACCAAGGCGACGAUCCAUAGCUGGUCUGAGAGGAUGAUCAGCCACAUUGGGACUGAGACACGGCCCAAACUCCUACGGGAGGCAGCAGUGGGGAAUAUUGGACAAUGGGCGCAAGCCUGAUCCAGCCAUGCCGCGUGAGUGAUGAAGGUCUUAGGAUUGUAAAGCUCUUUCACCGGAGAAGAUAAUGACGGUAUCCGGAGAAGAAGCCCCGGCUAACUUCGUGCCAGCAGCCGCGGUAAUACGAAGGGGGCUAGCGUUGUUCGGAAUUACUGGGCGUAAAGCGCACGUAGGCGGAUAUUUAAGUCAGGGGUGAAAUCCCAGAGCUCAACUCUGGAACUGCCUUUGAUACUGGGUAUCUCGAGUAUGGAAGAGGUGAGUGGAAUUCCGAGUGUAGAGGUGAAAUUCGUAGAUAUUCGGAGGAAC
rnacentral:rRNA from 1 species